CACCUUUUUUCUUUUUUUUUUUAAAUUGUUUAAACAAAUAAAUAAGUUAAUUCUUGCUACCUUUAGAUAAGUUUAUUUACUUUAAUUUGUCAGUUAAAAGUUUUAUAUUUAUCUUUGUGUUCUAGUGCAGAAACACUGAAUCUUUUUCAUGGUUGCAGUUGCAGAACUUGCUGUGGCUACUGCAAUAUUGCCAAAUGAAAAGACAAAGCAAAACCCAUUUUUAUUUUUUAGAAAAACUAAAAUAUUUUAGUUUACAUCAGAAAUUUUAACAAACAAUAUGCUGUCAAAGUUUGUACCUUUUCUUUUCUAUAUUUUCAAUAUUUUUUAGGCAACUCAAGGGUUGGACUAUUAGUUCACUCAGGCAUUAUUAGUCUAUCAACUGGGUUGGUUAUCUGUAUCAUUCAGCUCUGGCAGACUUUAAAAACCCUAAAAGAAAAAAGUGCUAAGGAGCUUUUAAUAGUAUUAAGACUUCGAUAAUAUUAAUUAUUUUAAUAAUUGUUAACUAUUUUAGUAAUUGUCAGUUAUAAAAUAAAAGUAUUUGAUAAAAGUAGUUAUUAGAUUAGAUGUUAAGCUAAUUAGGAAGUGUAAUUUUUUAUAAAUUAUUUUUUCAACGUCUAAACACUAGUAUGUCAUUGAACAAUAUAAAUAGAUAGUGUUUGACUAAGGCUAAAUCAAAACACUAAAUGUUACUUUAAAAAUUAUUAUCGAAUAGGGUCUAAAUCGAGCUAAAUCAAUAAAAAAAUGGCAAUAAUUAAUUGAGCCCUGUAAGCAAGGACUUGUUUGGGAUUAUUAAUGAACAACAAACAUUUAUAACGAAACUAACAUUUCUUUUUGGCUUUGUUGUGUUUGGAAUGCAAAACCAAAACAAACAGGCGGCUCUACCACAAGGAAUUGUCCCCUUCGUCUUUGCCAAGGAAUACAACGUACACCCUGAUAUUCUCAGCACAGGUGUCAUAUUUGGGAUGCUAAUAGCAUUGCCUAUAACUCUUGUGUACUACAUUUUAUUGGGGUUGUGAAGUGCCAGUGACUCGUCAACAUUAGCAUGCACCAAUGGAAAGCCCAAUGGAGCUACAAGUGCAUAUCUAAACAUUGUUUCCAAGAGAUAGAGAGAGAGGUGGAUCUUUUUCUUGCAAAGUGUCUUCUUUUCCUAGUGAAAAAGUUGUAAAAUCAAUGUUUCUAGCAAAAAAAAAAGGGGGGGUUUUCUAGUUAGUUUUUUUUUUUUUUUUU
rnacentral:misc_RNA from 1 species